AGAAAUUAAAAGAAAACUGGUCCAAGACCAACAAGAAUAACCCCAAGCCCAGUCCACUUCUUCUCAUUAACCUUCCCAGACCCAGACCCAAGACCCCUGACUCGACCCAUUCGCAAAACACACAAGUAUACAUACACAAACGCGAAGUCCCUAAUCCCUAACCCUCAAGCGCGUACUGCGACUUUGCUUCUUCUUCUCAAAAAAAAAAACCCGAAUCCAGCCCUAAUACUGUCCAAAUUCGAGCGAUUGAACCUCAAAUCUCUCCUCAUGUGUUCCACUUUCUCUCCUCUUACCACAGAUGGCCAUUUCUAAUGGUAAGACUCUCCUUCCCUUCACUCGCUCGAUUUAGAGAUAAGGCACGCGAUUGGAGGCUUCUGAAAAGGAUUUGCUGGAUGAGUGUGAGGCGUUGGAUUGAUUUCACUUAAUCCAAGCCCCGUAUUCAUCAGGAAUUCGUUUUCAAAAGAAGCUCAAUCCAAUUUUGAACGGGAAUCGGCUAAAAAAUUUCAGAGAAAGGGUUAAAGGUUUUUUGUGAACAAAUUGCUGCUCCGAGAUGAUUUUCUUUGAAGAGGUCAUUAAAGUUUAAGAAAAACAUAGAUACAAUCUUUUCUUCUUAUUUUUUGAAUCCGUACUUAAGUUCGUGGAAGAUACAAAUUGAAGUUCGAGCUAUGUUUCUAUUGUUGUUUUGCUAAUCUCUAUUGAACCUUGAUAGAAUUCAGGAUCAAAAGGUGUAUUGUCGAGAAUAUAUUUAUUAAAAUGAUUUUGAAAUUUCAGGUUCGAUUUCUUUAUCUUUCGCAUCUCUGUUAUAUAAUAUUUUGAACAAUGAGAUUUUGUCCAGAAUGAUUUUUGGUUCUGUGCGUGAUUCUUCUCCUAUUGAACUGCUUCUCAGUAGUGUGAUGUAUUUGAAUAUUUUCAGUUAGUAGAAGCUUAUUUUGAGUGGUCGUUUGUCUAUAGUUUAACUGUUAUUGUGAUGUUGAGUUUCAUUUGAUCCAAGGUCUCGUCGCCUUCAAAUGAACGAUGUGUUCACCUUCCGUGAUUGCUAAGCGAGCUUGAAACUAUGACGUUCAUUCGCAAGAUGUUUUCUUCCUGGACUUUGAGUGAUUUAUUCCUGAUAAAUAUUUCUUUGCUGGAAGCUUUGAAUUAGAACCACCAUCUUUACUUGAACAGUUGAUUUUUUUUUUCUUUCUUUGAAAGUGUUAUUGGUCAGAAUUUUGGUCGUGUUGUCAUGGGAUGAUCGCUUUAUAAAAUGAUCUUCUUCACUUCUUCUCUUACAUAUGAUGUUCUUUAAUAUUAAGUCAAUCUGCUUGUAUCUCUUGCUUUGAUCUCAAUGUGUUUGUUCCCUUUUUUUAUUUCAUGGUUAUUUUGGCACGUUCUACUGGCUUAAGUCUGUUGAAGUUCCCCUUGAAUAAAUAUUAGCUCUAUGAGGCUCAAUAUAAGUUGGACUGUACCUAUUGGUUUUGUUUGAAUGCUAUUCAUGUUAGUUGUGCAAUCCUGUCUGUAGUAGAUGCAAAGUAUUUCGGCAGUUGAAACUUCUUGAGCUAGAUUGUUUUGAGCUAUGAGGGACACUGUGCUAUCAGUAUUUCACUGAUUCUGCGUAGCUAGGUCCUGCCAGUUCUUCGUCACCUGUUUGGUCCAAUUCUUGCUUGUUUUGUUGGUGUUCGAAGUGUGUUUGCAGUUUAAGUGUCACUAUAGGAAAUUUACUGUUAUGAAUUCUGCAUUUCAAUACUGUUUCAAAGGAAUUACGAACCAUUAUUGUGCUUCCUCUGAGUUUGUCACGAGUCUGGUAGCUCCCUUGCUGGUGUAAGCUCAAAACAAGUUUUAAGAACCUUGUGUGUUAUUCUGUGUCAUCUACUAGAGUUAGUUGUUGGUUUAACUAGAUUAAAACUAGUCGAAGUUCGUGAUGGUUUCAGCUUGACUGAAUCAUUUGUUCAGUUGAAUUCAUCUUCCAUGAUUGGAACUUGUCCCACGUGAAUGGGACUGAUGGCAUCUGUUAACUUGGUUGCAAAUUAAGAAAUGAAACUGAUGUCCAUGUUUGGCAGCUUGAAGAUCUCUCAUUCUACAUCUGGCUUAGCAAUUUGUUUUCCUAUUUGGCUCAACUCUAGGCUAGUUCAUAUUCUUAAGAUUGAGUUAAUACGUUGCUACGUUAAUCAAUUUCAACCUGGGUUUGCAACAUGAACUAUUUUGAUUUAAACACUAGUUGGUUUGGCUUUUGGUUGCUGUGAUUCUGAGAUAAACUCAAUACGUUGGUGAACAGGUGUAAACAUCAC
rnacentral:lncRNA from 1 species